CGGGUCUCCCGCAGCGUCGCCCCCAGUGUCUGGUAGCGCGAGCCCCUCGCGCCUUUCCCUGGCCCUUGAAGACUCGGAUUGACCCCGGAAUUCCACAUCUAAUUUGGGAGAGCCUCCAGCACUUCCCUGGCCUAGGCUGUGGAAUUGUGCGGGAGGGAUGGACAUAGCCCGGUCCCCUGCGGCGUUACUUGGAGACGACUGGAAACCGACCCUCCUCUGCUCCCGAACCUCCAGGGGCUCCCCGCUUUCGCAGGACGACAGCCCCAUGUGCGGGCGGAUUCAAGGAGUGUCUCACUGUGGCCCCAGUACACCUGUUCAGUCUCAGCCUGUGACCUCAUUAACUCCGCUGCACUCACCCCUGCCCCCCAAGAUCCUGACAACCGCAACCUCAUUUCCAAGCAUUCCCACCCUUUGCCCUUUUUAGAAACGGGAGCAAAGAACAUCCAGGGUGGAGAGGGAGGAGUUAGUAACUGAAAUGACUCAGCAGUGGAUUCAAUGGUAACUUGACUUAGGCACCUGGGACGCCUGGCCUGACGCGCUGCUGCACUGAGUCAGUGUCCUGUCCGUCUUCUCUGCAGGGCUUUGCGCGAAGACCAGCUCCCCUAACCCGCCUUCAGGCCUCUCCAACGACCGCAUCUGCCAGUGACCCCCGAGGCCGCCUGCUCAGGUUCCGGUCCAUUAAAGGACCCCAACAAGUGGCUCCCAGAACACGGACACUGGUAUACGUGGCAUUUCGGACGGAGUGACUCCAGGCUUAUUGAGGUCUGGACCUAUUGAGGUCGAUGGAUCCAGUGACCUCACAUGACUUCCUCUUCAGAAGAUUCAAGGGGGCCCCCAGCAUUCAGACUAGAGACAAAACAACAAAAACCCCAGGAGGAAGGAAUUCCAAUACAAGCCAUGGCAGCUUUAAGAACUUCCAAAAAACGCCACACUCGACAUCACCGACCUUAUGAUCUCCCUCCUUGGGGACAGAUAAAAAUCCUUACUAAUCAAACUGAAAAUCUGAUUUCUCAACAGGGAAUGCCUCGGAAUCCUGAAAAUACUUUUCUUCGCUAUGCUUGCUUUGCUUGCUUUUUUCUCCCCCACUCAGGCUGACUUGAUUGAUCACACUUAUUGGGCUUAUGUACCUAGCCCCCGUUUUUAAUUGUAGGUUAUAAAAUGGACAGAUGUAAGACCAAUCAUAUCCACUAAUGACUCAACACAUAUGCCCCCUCCUUGGAACUUGGAGGGGCCCUCUCAUCCUGAA